UACGUAGGGUGCAAGCGUUGUCCGGAAUUAUUGGGCGUAAAGGGCUCGUAGGCGGUUUGUCGCGUCGGGAGUGAAAACCUCGGGCUUAACUCGGGGCUUGCUUUCGAUACGGGCAGACUGGAGGUAUGCAGGGGAGAACGGAAUUCCUGGUGUAGCGGUGAAAUGACGCAGAUAUCAGGAGGAACACCGGUGGCGAAGGCGGUUCUCUGGGCAUGACCUGACGCUGAGGAGCGAAAGUGUGGGGAGCGAACAGG
rnacentral:rRNA from 1 species